rnacentral:rRNA from 1 species
AGCUAGUUGGUGAGGUAACGGCCCACCAAGGCGACGAUCGGUAGCCGGACUGAGAGGUUGAACGGCCACAUUGGGACUGAGACACGGCCCAGACUCCUACGGGAGGCAGCAGUGGGGAAUAUUGCACAAUGGGGGAAACCCUGAUGCAGCGACGCCGCGUGGAGGAAGAAGGUCUUCGGAUUGUAAACUCCUGUUGUUGAGGAAGAUAAUGACGGUACUCAACAAGGAAGUGACGGCUAACUACGUGCCAGCAGCCGCGGUAAAACGUAGGUCACAAGCGUUGUCCGGAAUUACUGGGUGUAAAGGGAGCGCAGGCGGGAAGACAAGUUGGAAGUGAAAUCCAUGGGCUCAACCCAUGAACUGCUUUCAAAACUGUUUUUCUUGAGUAGUGCAGAGGUAGGCGGAAUUCCCGGUGUAGCGGUGGAAUGCGUAGAUAUCGGGAGGAACACCAGUGGCGAAGGCGGCCUACUGGGCACCAACUGACGCUGAGGCUCGAAAGUGUGGGUAGCAAACAGGAUUAGAUACCCUGGUAGUCCGCACCGUAAACGAUGAUUACUAGGUGUUGGAGGAUUGACCCCUUCAGUGCCGCAGUUAACACAAUAAGUAAUCCACCUGGGGAGUACGACCGCAAGGUUGAAACUCAAAGGAAUUGACGGGGGCCCGCACAAGCAGUGGAGUAUGUGGUUUAAUUCGACGCAACGCGAAGAACCUUACCAAGUCUUGACAUCCCUUGACGAUGCUGGAAACAGUAUUUCUCUUCGGAGCAAGGAGACAGGUGGUGCAUGGUUGUCGUCAGCUCGUGUCGUGAGAUGUUGGGUUAAGUCCCGCAACGAGCGCAACCCUUAUGGUCAGUUACUACGCAAGAGGACUCUGGCCAGACUGCCGUUGACAAAACGGAGGAAGGUGGGGAUGACGUCAAAUCAUCACGCCCUUUAUGACUUGGGCUACACACGUACUACAAUGGCGUUAAACAAAGAGAAGCAAGACCGCGAGGUGGAGCAAAACUCAGAAACAACGUCCCAGUUCGGACUGCAGGCUGCAACUCGCCUGCACGAAGUCGGAAUUGCUAGUAAUCGUGGAUCAGCAUGCCACGGUGAAUACGUUCCCGGGCCUUGUACACACCGCCCGUCACACCAUGAGAGCCGGGGGGACCCGAAGUCGGUAGUCUAACCGCAAGGAGGACGCCGCCGAAGGUAAAACUGGUGAUUGGGGUGAAGUCGUAACAAGGUAGCCGUAGGAGAACCUGCGGCUG